rnacentral:rRNA from 1 species
CGAAGGGUGCAAGCGUUAAUCGGAAUUACUGGGCGUAAAGCGCGCGUAGGUGGUUUUGUAAGUUGGAGGUGAAAUCCCCGGGCUCAACCUGGGAACUGCCUCCAAAACUGCAUGACUAGAGUACGGUAGAGGGUAGUGGAAUUUCCUGUGUAGCGGUGAAAUGCGUAGAUAUAGGAAGGAACACCAGUGGCGAAGGCGACUACCUGGACUGAUACUGACACUGAGGUGCGAAAGCGUGGGGAGCAAACAGGAUU